AUGCCAUUUUUUCAAUGCAUCACUGUCAGUAAUAUCUGAAAAUGCUGGGAAGCAAGACAUCUGUCCCUCAAUAAAAAUAUGAAUAUUAUAAAAAGUAAGAUGCUCCUAUGUGCCUAUAUGGCAAGUUUGACAAGAUGAAUUGCUAAACGCAAAAUCAGGGUUUAGAACAAUGUGUAUAGGAUCCUAUUGCUGUCAAAAGCAAGGAGUUGGAAGAGAAAUAUAUAUUUGUAAUUGAUUGUGUACACUUUAGAAUGUCUUUUGAAGGAUCAUUAAAAUUUAAUAAAAAUUGUACACCAUUAUUUUUUUAAGUGUUUAUUCUUUUCUACUGCAAGGCAAGAGGUGAAUUGGUUGAAUGGGAUCCGCUAUAGGAGACAAGUAAUUUUCGCAAAUAAACUGGUUAUAUAGGACAGAGUGAAAAUGUUCUAUCUUCAUACUAGUUUAUAUAACUGAAAGUAAAUGUGGAUAAAAUUAUGAUCCUUAACCUUUUGUAAAAGAAGAGUACAAGGUCUGAUGAAAAUCUUUUUAAAAUCUUACCUAUGAUAAAUAAAGCAGAUGUUAAUUCCUUUUGGCUAGCUUUCAUCAGCAUAUAGUUUCUUCCCCUCAAUGAGAUAAAGCAAUGAUGAUUUGUUACAGCAUAUUUACCCUGUAAAUUGGUGUUUUGUUAAGGGUAAAUUUUUCAUUGUAUAGUUUAGGAAAACAGAAAAGGGGGUGAAAAGAAACCAACUUACACAUCAUAUCAGAAUAAGAUGAGUAAAAAGCAAAAGGAGAAGGUAGAACUUAAAAUCACAAUAAAUGUAGAAAUAGAUAGUAAAAUAAAGAAGACACAUUGUAAACUGUAUACUGAGAACUAGUGUUGGACUAACUAAAUUGGACACAGUGAAAUUCAGAUGAAUUCUCUAGUCUCAAUUGCAUGAUAAUGAGUAAAAAAAAAACCAUAAAAUUCAAAAUUAAGCCUAGAAUACUAACCAUUUCUCAGCGAAGAAACUCAGAAAAUGCACUUGAAUGUGAAUUAGAAGACUCACAUUAAAUAUCUUAGCAAGUAUUGACUAUGAC
rnacentral:lncRNA from 1 species